rfam:Canis lupus familiaris chromosome 14, whole genome shotgun sequence.
AGGAGGAACAACCACAGUGGCAGUGGCCAGCUCUGGAGCCCUGGAGUAAGCUCCCGCAGUAGCUAUGGAGCUCUCAGUCUGCAGAAGCCUGGAUGCUCUGGGGGCAG